CAGCAGCCACGGUAAUACGAAGGGGGCUAGCGUUGCUCGGAAUGACUGGGCGUAAAGGGCGCGUAGGCGGAUUGUUUAGUUAGGCGUGAAAUUCCUUGGCUUAACCUGGGGACUGCGCUUAAUACAGGCAGUCUAGAGUGAGGAAGAGGGUUGUGGAAUUCCCAGUGUAGAGGUGAAAUUCGUAGAUAUUGGGAAGAACACCGGUGGCGAAGGCGGCGACCUGGUCCUUUACCGACGCUGAGGCGCGAAAGCGUGGGGAGCAAACAGGAUUAGAUACCCCAGUAGUCCCUGUCUCUUAUAC
rnacentral:rRNA from 1 species